GUCCAAGCGGGUAGGUGUGUGUAGGUGUGGGACUUGGUGAAAAGGAAGGUGUCUUGGCAAGAGCAGUGGCCCGUCAGGUAGGCAGUUGCACAGAGCAGCGAAUUGC
rnacentral:SRP_RNA from 1 species